rnacentral:rRNA from 1 species
UACGAAGGGUGCAAGCGUUAAUCGGAAUUACUGGGCGUAAAGCGCGCGUAGGCGGUUUGGUUAGUUGGAUGUGAAAGCCCCGGGCUCAACCUGGGAACUGCAUCCAAUACUGCCAAGCUAGAGUACGGUAGAGGGGGGUAGAAUUCCACGUGUAGCGGUGAAAUGCGUAGAGAUGUGGAGGAAUACCAGUGGCGAAGGCGGCCCCCUGGAUCGAUACUGACGCUGAGGUGCGAAAGCGUGGGGAGCAAACAGG